UUCGGUGUAGAAGGAAGGGCACUGUGCUUGAUGUCUGUCAUUUUCACACUGCUCCUGCCUUCUUACAG
rnacentral:miRNA from 1 species